CUGGGGGGUGGGGGGUAUGGCCGGGACCCCCUGAGCUGAGGGAGGACAGCCGGGAUCCGCCUGAGCUGAAGGGGAGGCCUCUGGGGUAAACACGGCUGGGGGAUCCCCCUGAGGUCGAUGGGAGAAUUGGGGUGGGAGACAACCCGGAUCGCUCGGAGCUGAAGGGAGGCUCUGGAGGCAACACAGCCCGGAUAGGAUCCCUGAGCGCCGGGGGUUCGGAGCUGCGGCUGGCUGGGCCCGGGAGCCGAUGGGGAUUCGGAGCGUGCGGGGUGUCACUCUGUGUGUCCCCAGCACAGAGCCACCAUGGCCCUGCCGGAGUGGCACAUCGCCGUGAAGCUGGCGGAGCAGCCGCUGGCCCCCAAAUCCAUCCUGCGCCUGCCGGAGACCGAGCUGGGCGAGUGCCCCCUGGGCGGCUGCAGCAUCUCGCACCUCAAGCAGCUCAUCGCGGGCAAGCUGCAGGAAUCCAUGCCGGACCCCGAGCUCAUCGACCUGAUCUACUGUGGCCGGAAGCUGAGGGAUGACCAGACCCUGGAUUUUUAUGGAAUCCAGUCGGGUUCCACUAUCCAUGUCCUGCGCAAGUCCUGGCCUGAGCCUGACCAGAAACCAGAGCCCGUGGAUAAGGUGGCAGCAGUCCGGGAAUUCCGUGUCCUGCACACUGCCCUGCACAGCAGCCCUGCCUACAGAGAUGCUGUCUUCAAGAUGCUGGGAAACAAGGAAUCCCUGGAUCAGAUCAUUGUGGCUACUCCUGGCCUCAGCAGCGACCCUGUGGCUCUGGGAGUUUUGCAGGACAAGGAUCUGUUUUCUGUGUUUGCAGACCCCAACAUGCUGGACACGCUGAUCCCAGCUCACCCUGCCCUGGUGAACGCCAUCGUUCUGGUGCUGCACUCGGUGGCAGGCAGCACCCCCCUGCCAGCCCCGGACACGUCCUCACGGGCCAUGGCCUUGGGCUCCUACCGGGACAUGCCAGGUGGCUUUCUCUUUGAGGGGCUCUCUGAUGAUGAAGAUGACUUCCACCAGAGCUCGAGGUCCACCCCUUCCAGCAGCACGUCCGGCUCGCGCCCGGCCUCGCUGGGCUACGCGGGGGCGGCGGGGCCGCGGCCCAUCACCCAGAGCGAGCUGGCCACCGCCCUGGCCCUGGCCAGCACACCUGAGAGCAGCUCCCACACACCCACCCCGGGCACACAGGGCCACUCCUCUGGGACAUCCCCGUUGUCCUCCAGUGUCCAGUCGGGGACACCCAUCACCAAUGACCUGUUCAGCCAGGCCCUCCAGCACGCCCUGCAGGCCUCAGGGCAGCCCAGCCUCCAGAGCCAGUGGCAGCCCCAGCUGCAGCAGCUGAGAGACAUGGGAAUCCACGACGAUGAGCUGAGCCUGCGGGCCCUGCAGGCCACAGGAGGGGACAUCCAGGCUGCCCUAGAGCUCAUCUUCGCUGGGGGGGCCCCCUAAAUCUUCCCGCUGGACUGCAAAAAGGUGGAAUGCAGGUGGAGCAGAAUCUCCCAGGUGGCUUUUGCAGUACCUCAACCAAUUUUGGACACAUUUCCAUGGGAUGAUGUUUGUUCCUUGCUUCCCCCAACCUGACAAGCUGGGAUGGAUGGUGGUGCUGGACCCUCCCUGGGAAUUCCAGAGCUGCUGUGGGAUGUGGGAAUCCUGUUUUUGGGGAGCCGAGACGUGGCCAUUCCCAUGCCAGUGCUGCCCUGGAACGCAAAGGAGCUCAGCACACAGGGAAAGGAGGACCAGGAAUUGCAGAACAAUUUGACCUGCUGGGACCUGGCAGGGACAUGGAGCUGACAGUGCAGCUCUCAUGACGGGAGUGUGGCCGAGCAGAGCCACCCAUUUCUGUUUUUUCUGUUGUUCUAACCUUAUUUAAUUGGGUGAGACUCCAAACUGGAUUUUGUUUACUCUGCCUGGAGCCUUUGGCACCCCUGCGUCAUUUCCUGCCCCUAUCAGUGAGUGCCCUCUGAGGAUGUGACACCUUCAGGUGAUGCUCCUGUGCCUCCCAGGGGGCUGUGGUGACAAGGGUGGGCUGUGACCAGUAAAUCACGUGGUGACACUGGCCUGGAAGGGCCUGGGCCAGCCCCAGGACUUUCCUCUGGAGGCACAGCAAGAGGGGAUGUCCCAGGCUGCGGUUCUGUGCUGCUCUCAAAAUCACGUGAGUGCAAUUCAGCUCUCUCACAAGUUCCCUUCAGGCCAAAUCUCCUGGGAAAUCUUAUCUGAGGGGGGCAAAAUCUCCUGGGAAAUCUCAUCGUGGGGCAUGUGGCUCCUCCACCCCUUUCCUGAGUGGUUUGUAAAGCCCUGGGGGUGGCUCUGAGCACAUGUGGGCCCCUUUGGUGGCACUCGUGCCAUGCCAUGUCCUUCAGCAGAACCCAGAGGGGGGGAACUUGUGCCAACUCCUCAGAGCCCCCAAAUUCCAUCCAGCUUGAAGAGAUGAGCCAGGAGAGCUGGAAGGCCCCCAAACUCUGCAGGGCUGUGGCCUUGGGAAGGGGUGGUUGAGGUUUUUUGGUUGCUGCCUGCCAGGAACAGGAGCUAGGGAUGGAGAUAGUUUGGGUGUGGAGAGCAAAAACUGCAGCAGCUGAUAAAGGAUCUGCUCUGCUCGCUUCCCUCCUCACUCUGUCAGCUGGGGAAUGAAGGGGCUGUCAGCACCAAGAGGAGCUGUGAGGGGGAAUUGCACUGAUUCCUACUCCAAACCCAGCCUCAGCAGUCAGCUCCUUCCCAGAAUGAGGAAUGGCAGCUCUGAUCUUCCAAAAGUUCUGUCCAGUUCUUCUCCCAGGCCAUCAGGUUUAGCACAGGAUUUUCUUGGUCUGGGCCAAAACAUUCACCAUCCUAAUCGUGUCUGGGAGGGGAUCACGGAAAAGGGGGAUGAGGAACAGGAACAUCCUUUGUCCAGCUCUGGCAGUGACUGGGUGUGGCACACCUGCCUUGUGGCACAGCAAAGGUCUUGCCUGCCUUAGCCAGGGCUAAGAUUUCUCUUGCUGAGCCUUUCUUCGGUGCUUCCAAGGGUCACAUUCCUGGCCGUGGCUGAGGGAAGGUAACGGAUCUGUUUUUGUGGAUAAAAACCAACGCCUGCUCGGGUGCCAAGUGCAAUCCGAGCUCUCUGGGUUG